rnacentral:rRNA from 1 species
UACGUAGGUGGCAAGCGUUGUCCGGAUUUACUGGGCGUAAAGGGCGUGCAGGCGGUCUGUUAAGUGCAGGGUGAAAGCUCCCGGCUCAACUGGGAGAGGUCCUUGCAUACUGGCGGACUUGAGGGGGGUAGAGGAAAGUGGAAUUCCCGGUGUAGUGGUGAUAUGCGUAGAUAUCGGGAGGAACACCUGUGGCGAAGGCGGCUUUCUGGGCCCUUCCUGACGCUGAGACGCGAAAGCGUGGGGAGCGAACCGG